UACAGAGGUCUCAAGCGUUGUUCGGAUUCAUUGGGCGUAAAGGGUGUGUAGGUGGCGCGCUAAGUCGGGUGUGAAAUUUCGGAGCUUAACUCCGAAACUGCAUUCGAUACUGGCGUGCUUGAGGACUGGAGAGGAGACUGGAAUUCAUGGAGUAGCAGUGAAAUGCGUAGAGAUCAUGAGGAAGACCAGUGGCGAAGGCGGGUCUCUGGGACGGUACUGACGCUGAGACGCGAAAGCGUGGGGAGCGAACAGG
rnacentral:rRNA from 1 species